UACGGGGGGGGCAAGCGUUGUUCGGAAUUACGGGGCGUAAAGGGCUCGUAGGCGGCCAACUAAGUCGGAUGUGAAAUCCCCAGGCUCAACUUGGGAACUGCAUCCGAUACUGGAUGGCUUGAAUUCGGGAGAGGGAUGCAGAAUUCCAGGUGUAGCGGUGAAAUGCGUAGAUAUCUGGAGGAAUACCGGUGGCGAAGGCGGCAUCCUGGACCGGCAUUGACGCUGAUGAGCGAAAGCUAGGGGAGCAAACGGG
rnacentral:rRNA from 1 species